GGGUUGUGAGGUUAAGCGACUAAGCGUACACGGUGGAUGCCCUGGCAGUCAGAGGCGAUGAAGGACGUGCUAAUCUGCGAUAAGCGUCGGUAAGGUGAUAUGAACCGUUAUAACCGGCGAUUUCCGAAUGGGGAAACCCAGUGUGAUUCGUCACACUAUCAUUAACUGAAUCCAUAGGUUAAUGAGGCGAACCGGGGGAACUGAAACAUCUAAGUACCCCGAGGAAAAGAAAUCAACCGAGAUUCCCCCAGUAGCGGCGAGCGAACGGGGAGGAGCCCAGAGCCUGAAUCAGUGUGUGUGUUAGUGGAAGCGUCUGGAAAGGCGCGCGAUACAGGGUGACAGCCCCGUACACAAAAAUGCACAUAUUGUGAGCUCGAUGAGUAGGGCGGGACACGUGGUAUCCUGUCUGAAUAUGGGGGGACCAUCCUCCAAGGCUAAAUACUCCUGACUGACCGAUAGUGAACCAGUACCGUGAGGGAAAGGCGAAAAGAACCCCGGCGAGGGGAGUGAAAAAGAACCUGAAACCGUGUACGUACAAGCAGUGGGAGCACGCUUAGGCGUGUGACUGCGUACCUUUUGUAUAAUGGGUCAGCGACUUAUAUUCUGUAGCAAGGUUAACCGAAUAGGGGAGCCGAAGGGAAACCGAGUCUUAACUGGGCGUUAAGUUGCAGGGUAUAGACCCGAAACCCGGUGAUCUAGCCAUGGGCAGGUUGAAGGUUGGGUAACACUAACUGGAGGACCGAACCGACUAAUGUUGAAAAAUUAGCGGAUGACUUGUGGCUGGGGGUGAAAGGCCAAUCAAACCGGGAGAUAGCUGGUUCUCCCCGAAAGCUAUUUAGGUAGCGCCUCGUGAAUUCAUCUCCGGGGGUAGAGCACUGUUUCGGCAAGGGGGUCAUCCCGACUUACCAACCCGAUGCAAACUGCGAAUACCGGAGAAUGUUAUCACGGGAGACACACGGCGGGUGCUAACGUCCGUCGUGAAGAGGGAAACAACCCAGACCGCCAGCUAAGGUCCCAAAGUCAUGGUUAAGUGGGAAACGAUGUGGGAAGGCCCAGACAGCCAGGAUGUUGGCUUAGAAGCAGCCAUCAUUUAAAGAAAGCGUAAUAGCUCACUGGUCGAGUCGGCCUGCGCGGAAGAUGUAACGGGGCUAAACCAUGCACCGAAGCUGCGGCAGCGACGCUGAUGCGUUGUUGGGUAGGGGAGCGUUCUGUAAGCCUGCGAAGGUGUGCUGUGAGGCAUGCUGGAGGUAUCAGAAGUGCGAAUGCUGACAUAAGUAACGAUAAAGCGGGUGAAAAGCCCGCUCGCCGGAAGACCAAGGGUUCCUGUCCAACGUUAAUCGGGGCAGGGUGAGUCGACCCCUAAGGCGAGGCCGAAAGGCGUAGUCGAUGGGAAACAGGUUAAUAUUCCUGUACUUGGUGUUACUGCGAAGGGGGGACGGAGAAGGCUAUGUUGGCCGGGCGACGGUUGUCCCGGUUUAAGCGUGUAGGCUGGUUUUCCAGGCAAAUCCGGAAAAUCAAGGCUGAGGCGUGAUGACGAGGCACUACGGUGCUGAAGCAACAAAUGCCCUGCUUCCAGGAAAAGCCUCUAAGCAUCAGGUAACAUCAAAUCGUACCCCAAACCGACACAGGUGGUCAGGUAGAGAAUACCAAGGCGCUUGAGAGAACUCGGGUGAAGGAACUAGGCAAAAAUGGUGCCGUAACUUCGGGAGAAGGCACGCUGAUAUGUAGGUGAGGUCCCUCGCGGAUGGAGCUGAAAUCAGUCGAAGAUACCAGCUGGCUGCAACUGUUUAUUAAAAACACAGCACUGUGCAAACACGAAAGUGGACGUAUACGGUGUGACGCCUGCCCGGUGCCGGAAGGUUAAUUGAUGGGGUUAGCGCAAGCGAAGCUCUUGAUCGAAGCCCCGGUAAACGGCGGCCGUAACUAUAACGGUCCUAAGGUAGCGAAAUUCCUUGUCGGGUAAGUUCCGACCUGCACGAAUGGCGUAAUGAUGGCCAGGCUGUCUCCACCCGAGACUCAGUGAAAUUGAACUCGCUGUGAAGAUGCAGUGUACCCGCGGCAAGACGGAAAGACCCCGUGAACCUUUACUAUAGCUUGACACUGAACAUUGAGCCUUGAUGUGUAGGAUAGGUGGGAGGCUUUGAAGUGUGGACGCCAGUCUGCAUGGAGCCGACCUUGAAAUACCACCCUUUAAUGUUUGAUGUUCUAACGUUGACCCGUAAUCCGGGUUGCGGACAGUGUCUGGUGGGUAGUUUGACUGGGGCGGUCUCCUCCUAAAGAGUAACGGAGGAGCACGAAGGUUGGCUAAUCCUGGUCGGACAUCAGGAGGUUAGUGCAAUGGCAUAAGCCAGCUUGACUGCGAGCGUGACGGCGCGAGCAGGUGCAAAGCAGGUCAUAGUGAUCCGGUGGUUCUGAAUGGAAGGGCCAUCGCUCAACGGAUAAAAAGGUACUCCGGGGAUAACAGGCUGAUACCGCCCAAGAGUUCAUAUCGACGGCGGUGUUUGGCACCUCGAUGUCGGCUCAUCACAUCCUGGGGCUGAAGUAGGUCCCAAAGGGUAUGGCUGUUCGCCAUUUAAAAGUGGUACGCGAGCUGGGUUUAGAACGUCGUGAGACAGUUCGGUCCCCUAUCUGCCGUGGGCGCUGGAGAACUGAGGGGCUGCUCCUAGUACGAGAGGACCGGAGUGGACGCAUCACUGGUGUUCGGGUUGUCAUGCCAAUGGCACUGCCCGGUAGCUAAAUGCGGAAGAGAUAAGUGCUGAAAAGCAUCUAAGCACGAAAACUUGCCCCGAGAUGAGUUCUCCCUGACCCUUUAAGGGUCCUGAAGGAACGUUGAAGACGACGACGUUGAUAGGCCGGGUGUGUAAGCGCAGCGAUGCGUUGAGCUAACCGGUACUAAUGAACCGUGAGGCUUAACCUUACAACGCCGAAGCUGUU
rnacentral:rRNA from 1 species